GAUUUUGACCCGCGCUUUGAAAGCGCGGGAUUUGUUUCGUGUUAUAUUAACAUAUCAAAUCAUCAAUGAUUAUUUAUUUCAUGGGAGAUUUAACUUCAACAUGUGUAAUAUUGUUUCGAUAUAGUGAAAAUAUGUAGCUAUAUUUUUAUGUAAUGUAAAAUUUUAAAUUGAUAAAAUUCAAAUAAAAUAAGACACAAUUUUCUUAUUUUAUUAAAUUAAAACUAAUUUACUAUGAUUAAGGAAAAACAUAUUUUUUUAACUACAUAUCAAACACUUUCCUUAAACCAAAAUUGCACAAUUUUCUUAAACCCUAGUCACCAUCUCCGUAGCUUUAAACUUUCUCAAAUUGCACACUUUUCUUAAAGGUAUAGAUUUAAAAACUCAGAUAUAUUCAUUUAAAGAAAAUAUAUUAAAAUCCUUUAGAUGGUAAAUUAACUAAAGAAGUGGAAAAAGAUUCUACAGAAUAAAAUAUUUUAGAUGGUUAAUAUCUGCAAUUUCUGAAAAAUAGAAACAUUUAAUGAAAAUCAUAGGUUAAAAAUAUUUCAGUAGCAUGGAGUUGUAAAUACUUUAAAACUUCAAGGUGACCUCAAAAAAAGUCCUUCAGUUUAAAUAGUAUUGAUUUCUUAUAUUAUUGCAUUAAAAUUUGUAUUUAAUUUCAGAUAUAUCUGAAUCCGAACCAAUAUAAUCCGAUUCUGAACGAUAUAUUUUCAAAUAAUCAAAAUAUAUAUGGAUAAACGGUUUCUUUGGUUUAAGGAUGUGUAUUGUUUACAUAAUAACAAAAUAUAUUUGGAUGUUUAUUUCCUAGUUUUUAUUUUAUUAUGAGAGUCGGAUAGAUAUUGGUUUGUUUCCUUAGAAAUAGAAUUGAGUAUUAAUUUUAAUAAUGUAAGAAAGUUGAUAUUAAUUAAAAAGAUUGCUAUUAAUUAUGGUCCAAUCAUCGAUCUUAGUUUAAUAAUAAUGAUUUGCAAGAAUAUACUUAAAUAAAAUUAGACAAAUAGUUAAUGUGGGUUAGUAUAUAUAUAUAUAAUAUGUAUAUAAGGCUACCGGAAAUAAUGGAAAAUAUUUAACUGGCGCUUAAAAUUAUGUAAUAAUUGUUAAGAUUUGGAAGAUCUUAAAUAGAUUGAUUGUUGAAAUAUAUCCUAUUUUGUUUGAUUUUAUUUUUAGUUUAAACACUUUCCAAAAUCAGUUAUCAUUUUUAAUAGAAAAUCAAAGAAAAUCAAAUAUUUUUAAAUAAUGUGAUUUUCCAAACUCCAAACUAUAUAAUAAAGUCAAAAUAGACUAAGCAAAGAAGUCAAUUUAAUAAAACAAUUUUAAAAUGAUUGAAGUGGGCUUCCGAUAGCAAUUAAAUCUGGUCCAAAUACAUAAAAUAUCUACAUUAGCUUUGAAUAAAAAAGACCAAAUUGUUUACUGACUGUUCAAUUUAACCAAGAAAAAAUGGAAGUCGGGUUCUCCGCCGACAGCUCGUCCUCAUCAAUCCUCCAAAUCUAGAAUUGACGAUCGUUUUAGGAAGCAAAUCUUCCAAGAUAGAGAUCAUUUAAACAUUCAUCCACCUCACGAUCGAUCGUGUUAACAAAAUAGUAUUAUCGAUCGGUCCAGAUCCGUUAGGCAGCUUGUGUUAACUUCAGAUAGCGAAGGAAUUUUUUAGAUCGGACAACAUAAAAGACAAAAAUUGUGAAGUGAAGAACUUAUUAUGUAAAAAAGACUAUAAAGACAUAAGAAAAGGAUCUUUAUAUUAACUUUGCUUCAAGACAACUAACACAGAGAAAGAAUUAAGUAUCAAAAACUAAAGAUAAGUAUUCUUUUUGGUCAGAUGUUGCACUUACAGAAAAGUUCGCAAUAGUCUCCACUCACCAACACAUCAUUUACUCCCCAAACCUAUCAAAUAGCUUUGUUUAUAUGUUACCUUGAUUUUUUCACCCUGCAAUACAAAGACAUAAGACACGUUAAAGUCUUUAAAAUCAAGAAGUUUACGAAACAAUAUGAUUAAUUAGUCUAUGUAUUUGUUCAGUUAACCUUCUUGUCACUGAAAAUGAUUCCAGUUUACCAGAUUUCGGGUUGAAUUUCUUCCAGGUGUGGAUUGCUUUCACUUGGAUGUACCAGUUGGUUCUGUAAGGUUUCAACUCUAAAAGGUACAAAAUUUUCUGCAUUCCUUUCAUUCUCGUAAACCAAAAAGAAAUUCUGUUUGUGUGGAUGACUGUUUGACCUUCGUAGUAUAUAUAGCUACGAAUAGAUAGGUUCUGUUAGAAUAUUCGGAUUAUUUUUAUUGUGUUUUUCAAUCACAUAAUAACAAUUUAAAUCACUUUGGAAUAUUUUAGUUAGGAGAGAGUAUGUAUCGGUAGGUAGAUAAUAAGAUAUAUUCUGUUACUAAACUAAGUGAAUAGUUUUAUUUGGCAUAAACCUCGUUAGAAGGGAGGAUAUUUCGGCAGUAUGUUUAUGGUUUAGUUACUAAUUGGUAAUUGGUGAAUAAAGAAUAUUACUUGGCAUAUACUUAGUUAUUGAUUAACUUAAUAAUUUGAAACUUUUAUUGAUAUUGGAGUUUAAUUUUUUUUUUUGAAUUUCGUGGUUUUAUAUUUCGAGUUUGAAAUUGGAAGAUUGCGGAUUGAUUUUUUACUUGGCAUAUACUUCGUUGUUGAUUAACAAAAUAUUUUUAAAAUAUAAAGUAUAAAAAAGGAUUUUGGUUUUAUGGGUUCAUUUGUAUCUAACACUAUAUAUAAAAAUGAAAGCUUACAAAUAUACAAAAACGAAUCUAUACUAUUAAAAGGUUAAAUAUUCAUGAUUUUGAAUAAUUCAACAUGUAUGUUUUCUGGUGCAAUCAUUUGUAACCAAAACAUUGAUGGGAAGUGAUGAAUGGUCGAUACAAUAAUAUUAACAAAAUGUAUUUUUUUUAUUUGGAAGCUUGCAGAAAAAAAGUUAAACGUUAAAGCUUCGGUAUCGAUGGAAUAUUAUUAUCAAUAUACAACGAUUUGGUACAUAUACUGUCUAAGAAAUGAAAAUCAGUGUGUUAUAGUGGGUUAUAGCAGUUGAAGUUUCUUUUAAUCGUAGCAGUUGAUAUGUAAUGAUACGUUAUGUUGUUUGAUAGGAAGGUUUCUCCACAUUAAACGUAGGUGUUGUUUUAUAAAUAAAAAGAUUUUUUGCUGUUUAAAUAAAAGAAAUCUUGGCAAAAUACAGAAUUAAAUUAAAAACAUAGCUUAAAAUAUUCCAGUGACAGAAUCUUGUAAAUAUUGUUGAAACAGAAGGGUGUCUCAAAAAAGGGCCUUCUGUUUUAAUAGUAUUGAUGGGUUUGAAUACAAAUCAAGUUUAUAGUAACAAAAAUAUAUUUUUUUCUUUUAUUUUUAUUUUUGUAACAAAAAAAUCUAUAUAAAUCUAUACUAUGUUUUUGUUAUUAUUAGAAAGGUGCUCUUCAACAUUUUAAAAGUUUUUUAAGCAAAAGAUUAUCCACAGUUUAUUUUUUAUUUUAUGUAGUUUAAUGAUAAAAAGUUCUCUAAAAAGUAUUGGUUUGGUUGGUUGAAUAUGUGGUUUUAUGUGUUUUGUUUUAAGAUUUAGACUUUAAAUAUUUAGUUGUGACUUUGAAUUAUUGAUGUAGAAUUUUUUCAAAGCACUGACUAAAUUUUUUAGAGAAACUGAGUUCUUAAAACACUUCCAAAAUACUUCCAAUGGAAGGGUUUUUCGCUCUUUAAUUCUAUAAAUACAUAUGUUACACACACAUAUAUAUAUGUGUGUAUGUUAUUGCAUGAUUCUAAGUUUUACGGAAAACCCAAUCCAAAGUAUUUGAAACUAGAUAUUUUGGGAACUUUGGAUUUUUCAUAAAACUUAGAAUCCUAAAAUUACAUAUACAUAUAUAAUAUAUACAUAUAACUUAAGAACUAGAAUUCCCAGAAUUUCUCUUAAAUUAGCAUGUUUUCUUUUAUAAUCUUUUGGUGCUAGAUUCAAUUUUAACAUGAUGAUUAUAUUUGAAAAGAUUUGUAGAAAUAAAAAUGGUUGUCUGCAACUUCUACGAACUCUUCCAAUCAACCUCUAUGCUCUAAAAGAGGAUCAUCGGCUAGUUUCUCAAAAACUAGUUUUUAACUAAAAGGUUUAGCUCUUAAAUAAGAAUCAUUUUUCUUCUUCUUUCAACAAUCAUUUUUAUUCUCUCUUGAACUAAUUCGUAAAUAUAUAGCUAUUAGAAAACUCAGCAAUGGACAUGGUUUUAGGUACUAUCACAAUCUCUUUUUUUUUGUGAAAAGUCUUUACACUGCAUGGAAGAACUUCCAUUGUGCCAUUGGGAUUGGGAUGAUUUUUCUACAAAGCCAUUGAAGUUCACCAAUGGAACUGCAAAGUAAUUUGACUCUAAUGAAACUGCAAAACACCACGAAUUUGGUAUAAUUACUUUCCAACUAAACUACAGAAAAACAUUAUUUACGAAAUUUAAUACAUAUUAGCAUACCAAAUACUAUAGUAUAAUAUAUACUACUAAUUAUUUAUCACACUAAAUAUUAAAUAUUUUAUUUUAUGAUAUGACUAAGUUAGAUUUAUUAAAUAUUCAAAAUUCGUAGAAAAAUAAUAUAAAAAUAU